rnacentral:rRNA from 1 species
UACGGAGGAUGCGAGCGUUAUCCGGAUUUAUUGGGUUUAAAGGGUGCGCAGGCGGAUUUUUAAGUCAGCGGUCAAAUCGUGGGGCUCAACCCCAUCCAGCCGUUGAAACUGGGGAUCUAGAGUGUGCGAGAGGUAUGCGGAAUGCGUGGUGUAGCGGUGAAAUGCAUAGAUAUCAUGCAGAACCCCGAUUGCGAAGGCAGCAUACCGGUGCACAACUGACGCUCAGGCACGAAAGCGUGGGUAUCGAACAGG